AGUGAACGCUGGCGGUAGGCCUAAUACAUGCAAGUCGAACGGCAGCACAGUAAGAGCUUGCUCUUACGGGUGGCGAGUGGCGGACGGGUGAGGAAUACAUCGGAAUCUACUUUUUCGUGGGGGAUAACGUAGGGAAACUUACGCUAAUACCGCAUACGACCUACGGGUGACAGCAGGGGAUCUUCGGACCUUGCGCGAUUGAAUGAGCCGAUGUCGGAUUAGCUAGUUGGCGGGGUAAAGGCCCACCAAGGCGACGAUCCGUAGCUGGUCUGAGAGGAUGAUCAGCCACACUGGAACUGAGACACGGUCCAGACUCCUACGGGAGGCAGCAGUGGGGAAUAUUGGACAAUGGGCGCAAGCCUGAUCCAGCCAUACCGCGUGGGUGAAGAAGGCCUUCGGGUUGUAAAGCCCUUUUGUUGGGAAAGAAAAGCAGCAGGUUAAUACCCCGCUGUUCUGACGGUACCCAAAGAAUAAGCACCGGCUAACUUCGUG
rnacentral:rRNA from 1 species